GUGGUUUUAUGUUUAACUUGCAAGUCGAUACAGGUAAUACUUCUUUUUUGUUUUUGGCCAUGCCCAUAGCAUGAGGAAGUUCCUGGGUGAGGGAUCAAACCCAUGUCAUAGCAUCGACCUGAGCCACUGCAGUGACAAUGCUGGAUCCUUUACCCACUGCACCAGAAAUAUGGCUGACUUCAAACUUCUGUUUAAAAUCUAAAAUGGACUUUUGGUUUUGGGAGAGAGCACAUUCUUGCAGUAAGAUUCCAGUAAGUGCCGUGCUAUUUCUUCAUCUCAAGUAAAAAAAAAAGCAAAAGUCAUUACCUGUAUAUAUUGCUGGUGUACAAAUUCUAAACAAUUUAUAAACUUUCUAACCAGUCUUUAGGGCCGCACCUGCAGCGUAUGGAAGUUCCCAGGCUAGGAGUCAAAUCAGAGCUAUAGCCACCAGCCUCCACCACAGCCACAGCAACUUGGGAUCCAAGCUGCACCUGGGACCUACACCACAGCUCACAGCAAUGCCAGAUCUCUAACCCAUUGAGUGAGGCCAGGGAUCGAACCUGCAUUCUCGUGGAUACAAGUCAGGUUCAUCGCCAUUGAGCCAUGAAGGGAACUCCUCUAAACAUAGUUUUAUACAUGCAUAUCAAAUGUGCUAAUACUCUCUCUAGGCACUUACUUGAAAAUUACAGUACCUAAAUUCUGAGGAGAGAAAAACACUCAGACCAGUAAGCCUUAGUUUUACCUGGGGGAGUCUGAUAACCUCAAUUAAAUAUAUGACCCAUUAGGCUAAUAUGGGAUUAUUAAUUUCAAUAAAUGAAGGAAAAUAUGGUACAGUCCAACAAACCAGUCCUUAGGUUAAGCUGUGAAGAAAAUCCUCACAUGAGUCUUUAUCUUAAAGACCCAGGUAUAAGAGACACAGGCAAAGCUGGGUGAGGAAUGCUCCUCCAAGGAGAAUUCAAAUAUUUCACCUCAGCCAGUACAAAGUUCUGAUUAUUGCCUCAAAUCCUUUGUGCAGCCAGAAAUGGCAUUCCUCAAAUUACAUGGUUAAAGUGGCCCCUGCAUUUACCCAAGAGUAAAUCUAGUUAGCAACAAAGAACUAGUGGCAUGGUCCUCAGUCUGCAGUUCAGACAGGUGACUGCAGUCUGUCUCACUCUGUCAGUCAGUCUCAGUCAUGACAACAAUAUAGCAAAAGAUAUUAGACUGCAUAUCAUGUUUCAUUUUUAUCCAAUAGAUCUUUAUUUUAUUGGUCCACACUCUAAUAACUGUUGCAACUGAGUUCAUAGUCAGGUUUUAUGAAAAUAAAUGUUUUAGCCAUCACAGCAUUUCCAACAUGAACAGAAUUAAAAUCUGUAUCAAUUUAUUCAUUUUUUAGGGCUGCACCCACUCAGCAUAUGGAAGUUCCCAGGCUAGGGGUCGAAUCAGAACUGCUACUGCCGCCUACACCACACCCACAGCAACAUGGAAUCCAAGCUGCAUCUGCGACCUACACCACAGCUUGCGGCAACAAAGCAAAGCCAGGGAUUGAACCUGCGUCCUCAUGAAUACUAGUCAGGCUCGUUAACUGCAGAGUCAUGAGGGGAACUCCUUCAUCACUUUUUUAGACAGAGAAAUAUAUAUAUACAUAUAUAUCUAAGUAUGUACACACACACACACACACACACACACACACAGCUUGUGUUGUUUGGCCCAAGCAGCACAUGCUGAAAACUACAUUUUUCUAUAAAACUUUACCCUUCUUUUCCAAAAGACCUACCCUAAACUUAGCCAUGUUAUUCCACUUAAGAUUUAAUGCUUUCAGAUUUCCACUGAGAUAAACACACACACACACACACACACACACACAAUAUCUCAUUAGCUUUUCAUUUAAUUCAUUGGUGUUGUUGACACACAGGUAAACAACACUUUUUUUUUUUUCUUUUUAGCGUCACACCUGCAGCAUAAGGAAGCUCCCAAGCCAAGGGUCAAAUUGGAGCUGCAGCUGUAGAGUACACCACAGCAAUGCCAGAUCUGAGACCUAUGCCACAGCUCAUGGCAACACCAGAUCCUUAACCCACUGAGCGAGGCCAGGGAUCAAACCCACAACCUCAUGGAUACUGGUCAGGUUCUUAACCCACUGAGCCACAAUGGGAACU
rnacentral:lncRNA from 1 species